rnacentral:rRNA from 1 species
AUUGAACGCUGGCGGCAGGCUUAACACAUGCAAGUCGAGCGGGGUGAUGGUGCUUGCACUAUCACUUAGCGGCGGACGGGUGCGUAAUGCUUAGGAAUCUGCCUAUUAGUGGGGGACAACAUCUCGAAAGGGAUGCUAAUACCGCAUACGUCCUACGGGAGAAAGCAGGGGAUCACUUGUGACCUUGCGCUAAUAGAUGAGCCUAAGUCGGAUUAGCUAGUUGGUGGGGUAAAGGCCUACCAAGGCGACGAUCUGUAGCGGGUCUGAGAGGAUGAACAGCCACACGGGGACUGAGACACGGCCCAGACUCCUAAGGGAGGCAGCAGUGGGGAAUAUUGGACAACGGGGGGAACCCUGAUCCAGCCAUGCCGGGUGUGUGAAGAAGGCCUUAUGGUUGUAAAGCACUUUAAGCGAGGAGGAGGCUCUUUUGGUUAAUACCCAAGAUGAGUGGACGUUACUCGCAGAAUAAGCACCGGCUAACUCUGUGCCAGCCGCCGCAGUAA